CCCCCGCCCCGCCACGCCACGCCCACCCCGCCGGCGCCCCCCGCCCGCCCGCGCAGCCCGACUCUAGCCUACCCCACCCGGCGGGGCGCUUGCCGGGGGCCGCGGAGACUCGGGUGGCGUCUCCCGCCGUCUCCCCUUGUUGCCAAGACCUUUCUCUCUUCGCCGCCAGUCCCCUUGCCCUUGCGGAGAACUUUGCCGAAUUUGGUUCAGCUGCUGAUCGCAGACGUGAGGUGUGAGAGGGCUUGCUCCGCAGUGGACCGGGGCGGGGGCGGGGGGAGUGUAAAUAGACCUGGAGGAGCCGGAGGCCACAGGGGGGUGCUGGGCCAUUUGAAGGUGGGGCUGCCCCGGUGGUCAGUCCAUCUUGUCCUUGCGCCGCGACGAGGCCGGGUUCCCAGAACCCCGGGCCGCUGUGUUUCGGCGCACGUGGCCGGAGCCCCUGCCUUCGGAUUCCGUUGAGAAGGACACAAACAUAGAAGACGCUCCACGGCUGAACGCUCUACUUAAAGGACACAUUGUGGUCCUCAAAGCUCAAAACUAUGCUAGCUUAAUAAAGUGGUUAAUGAGCUGGAAAUGCCCAGCAUGGCAGGAUGGUUUCAGCAUCUGCAUGGAGUGCCAUCUACUCAGGUUGUGAGCUCCUUGAAGGCCUGGCCAUACAUAGCCUUCUAUGCCUUGCAACUGAGAACAUCCUGUAGCUGAGGAAGAUCUUGCUUCCACGUAGAAGAUGGAAUAUUUCCUCCCCCCAAGGGGGCUCCACAAGGGUAAUGCAUCCGGCCUCUGCUAUCCCCUCCACGGGAGGAGGCCCGAUGUGCGCCGACUGCUGCACUCGGAAGGAGGGCUUGUCCCUUUGUGUCUCUAUCUCUUGGGACCCAGCCCACCUGCAGGGAGGUCAGCUCUGCCCCCUCCAGGCCACACUUGCCGUAGGAAAGGCGAUCACUCCCAGCUGGGAGCCCCCUGUGGUGCAGGGCGACCCCCAGCUCAUCUAAUUCUGUGGUUCUGUCUGAGGACUUCCGCCUGCCCUCAGAUCUAGGCCGUAUUCCCAGCAGCGGCUUUAUCACAAUAAACCUCUCAGGUGUUUCUCCGUUUUUUCCACACCAGGUUGGGAAAGGGGAAUUAUAUAUUAGGCACCUUCAAACUGUAACAGGGACAUCCAGUCUCCUCCAUGCAAGCUGAAAAUCAUGGUCAUCCCUCAAGUGCCAUUUCGGGACCUGAACUUCCUGCUUGGACUCCGGUGAGACAAUGAAACCUCUUUUCUUUAAUGAUUUCAAGACGCUCAGCCAGUAAGGCUCCUUAUCUGUUUCUGAUUGUCUCUGUCUCUGCAAUAUCAGAGAGUCACACUGUCUACCGAUCAAGCCAGCGAGGUGCCCCUCCACUUGGAUAUUUAACCGAAUUUUUGUCUCUUACUGUCAUGCUCAUUCUUUGAUCAUUAAGUGUGAAGGGUUCUUUAUAAAUGUAAUAUAUUUGCCGUGGAAUUCGGAGGAGCAUUUAAUCUCUAUUCACAAUUAUUGCGAACCUUUGUAGCACAGACCUCCGAAAAGGGAAAGCAGCACACUGUGUCAUCUGAGAAGGGUCUCUUUGCUGCUAAAAUGUGGCAGGCUCGGUGCCCUUCCACACCUCCCAGCACACCUCCCCUAACCCUCUGUCCCACAUCUCCCACUACCCUCAAGACACCUGUUCCCUCCUGGCUUCUCUCUCUUCUCCAUCCGGAAUGCCCAUCUUCAGCCACUCUAUCUUUCCCGUCUUAAAAACACUACUCAGGAAUCCAAUUUCCCCUAAGUAACAGUUUGGACUCCAUUCUAAGUACUGUGCCAACUCUCAAAGCAUUUAAGACUAGACUUACUUGGUCCAAAAUCUUAUGUUUAUGGUUAGUUAGUCAAAAAGUAUUUUUCAUUAGUCUAAGCAUUUUAAUUUAAGGCAGAAACUUGGUUAUGGCUCCUUGAAGACAUUUGUCCUUGCUUCCUGCUGUCCAGUUCAAUGUCUGACACUGGGCAGAACUCAAUCAACGUUUUCAUCCUAACAGUGUGAUUGAAUGAACCAGGAUGUUUUCCUUCCAACUCCCCCUCAGCACUAAGAGUUCUUAGCAAACAGUAGCAAUUAUGGGGGAGCAGAGGGUGACUCACUGAACAUUUAUCCUUGGAGACCUUUUGCAGAAGAUUCUACCUAUUGGAACUGAAUGGAGCUCUUUAUAACUACCCCUUUUUAUUCCUAUUUUCUGUUUCCUUCUCAUCCUAAUGUGUUUAAUGCAUAUCUUUGUUUAUUUGUAUUCUCUGCAAAAUGCAUAUUGUUUUGUGUACACAUACUCUUAAUUUAUAUAACUUAUUUAAGAUUGGGGGGCCUGGCCGGAUCAGUCGUUGGAGUGUUCAGCUCUUGAUCUCAGGGUUGUAAGUUUGAGCCCCAUGUUGGGUGUAGAGAUGACUUAAAAAUAAA